UAGGGAAUCUUCCACAAUGGACGCAAGUCUGAUGGAGCAACGCCGCGUGAGUGAAGAAGGCUUUCGGGUCGUAAAACUCUGUUAUUGAAGAAGAACGUGUGUGACAGUAACUGGUCAUGCAGUGACGGUAUUCAAUCAGAAAGUCACGGCUAACUACGUGCCAGCAGCCGCGGUAAUACGUAGGUGGCAAGCGUUGUCCGGAUUUAUUGGGCGUAAAGCGAGUGCAGGCGGUCUUUUAAGUCUGAUGUGAAAGCCUUCGGCUUAACCGAAGGUAGGGC
rnacentral:rRNA from 1 species